GCUGAUAUGGCUCAGUUGGUAUAGCGCUCACUCGGUAAGCGUGAGGACCUACGUUCGAUUCUUGCUCUCAGCU
rnacentral:tRNA from 1 species